GACGAACGCUGGCGGCGUGCCUAAUACAUGCAAGUUGAGCGCUGAAGGUUGGUACUUGUACCAACUGGAUGAGCAGCGAACGGGUGAGUAACGCGUGGGGAAUCUGCCUUUGAGCGGGGGACAACAUUUGGAAACGAAUGCUAAUACCGCAUAAAAACUUUAAACACAAGUUUUAAGUUUGAAAGAUGCAAUUGCAUCACUCAAAGAUGAUCCCGCGUUGUAUUAGCUAGUUGGUGAGGUAAAGGCUCAACAAGGCGAUGAUACAUAGCCGACCUGAGAGGGUGAUCGGCCACAUUGGGAAUGAGACCCGGCCCAAACUCCUACGGGAGGCAGCAGUAGGGAAUCUUCGGCAAUGGACGAAAGUCUGAACGAGCAACGCCGCGUGAGUGAAGAAGGGUUUCGGAUCGUAAAACUCUGUUGGUAGAGAAGAACGUUGGUGAGAGUGGAAAGCUCAUCAAGUGACGGUAACUACCCAGAAAGGGACGGCUAACUACGUG
rnacentral:rRNA from 1 species